UACGUAGGUGGCAAGCGUUGUCCGGAUUUAUUGGGCGUAAAGGGCGCGUAGGCGGCUGUACAAGUCAAAGGUGAAAUCCCUCGGCUCAACUGAGGAACUGCCUUUGAAAACUGUACGGCUUGAGGCCGGGAGGGGGUAGCGGAAUUCCCAAUGUAGCGGUGAAAUGCGUAGAUAUUGGGAGGAACACCAGUGGCGAAGGCGGCUACCUGGACCGGUUCUGACGCUGAGGCGCGAAAGCGUGGGU
rnacentral:rRNA from 1 species